GACAACUCUCAAGCAAUGCCAAGUAUGCAUAACAGAGCCUUAAGAGUGUUCUCUUUUACCAGCUUGUGCAAGUUCGUUCUCUCUCUCUUUUUAAUUCGCUUCUCCAAACCGUUCGCUUCGCCAAAAUCAUUCGCUUCGCAAGUGAUAAUACCACCCCUGAUUAUAACAAUGGAAAAACCAACACAUGGCUACUCGGUGAUUCUGGUUACCCCUUGCAGCCAUACUUGAUGACGCCAUUCAGAAGCGCAGCC